rnacentral:lncRNA from 1 species
CCGGGCUAUACAGAGUCCCACAUGCAGACACCUUCCUGCCCAGCAUCUCUUCUCCCAGGAACUGGGCCUCAACCCAUCCUGGGCCCCGUGGCUGUUUUAGCUGCAGGUGAUGCAACCCGGCAGCUGGGCUUGAGGCUGUCUCUGCACAGAGCAGCAGGAAGGCCUUUGCUGGGAUUCCUACAUCUCCGGAGGAGGGACCUGCAGUGGCUCCACCACCCUGACGAGAUCAGGCCGGAGGACAUGGCAUGAAGGGAUAUUUCUGUGGUGGUAAUCACUGCUCCUCACUUUUCUGUCCUGUUAAAGUGGAAAACAUGCACCUGUGUCAGAACUGGAGAAUGAGGGUUCAAUACCCGGCUCUGCGACCUAUGUUCUGUGAGCUUCGCUAGUCCUUUCAGCUCUCUAAAUGGGAGGAUUGCGAGAGACGGAGGCUGUGGGACAUGCUGG